CAACUCCCAACACCCGCAUUUAACAUGCAGAGAGUUACUCAAGAAAUGGCAGUCCCUCCACAACUCCCUCCACCCCCCGCACCAGCCCUCAACAUGCGGCCAACAGAGGAAGCCUGUUCAAGCCUGACCUACAGACCAACAUGGCGAGGGGGAAGAAUGGGCGAUACCAUUCCCUGCUCUGCGGCUGAGGUCCACAUCCAUAGCCUGCUGGAAACCAUUAAACAGCAACAAGACCAGCUUGUGGCA